rnacentral:rRNA from 1 species
GACGAACGCUGGCGGCGUGCUUAACACAUGCAAGUCGAACGAUGAACCCGGAGCUUGCUCCGGUGGAUUAGUGGCGAACGGGUGAGUAACACGUGAGUAACCUGCCCUUGACUCUGGGAUAACUGCGGGAAACUGUAGCUAAUACCGGAUACGACCCUCGGCGGCAUCGCCAGGGGGUGGAAAGAAUUUCGGUCAAGGAUGGACUCGCGGCCUAUCAGCUAGUUGGUGAGGUAACGGCUCCCCAAGGCGACGACGGGUAGCCGGCCUGAGAGGGUGACCGGCCACACUGGGACUGAGACACGGCCCAGACUCCUACGGGAGGCAGCAGUGGGGAAUAUUGCACAAUGGGCGCAAGCCUGAUGCGACAACGCCGCGUGAGGGAUGACGGCCUUCGGGUUGUAAACCUCUUUUAGCACCGACGAAGCGCAAGUGACGGUAGGUGCAGAAGAAGGACCGGCCAACUACGUGCCAGCAGCCGCCGUAA